CAACCNGCCGUCUACUCUNGGACAGCCUUCUGAAAGGAAGAUUAAUACAAGAUGGCAUCAUGAGUCCGCAUGUUCACAUGAUUAAAGGUAUUCCGGUAGACGAUGGGGAUGCGUUCCAUUAGAUAGUAGGUGGGGUAACGGCCCACCUAGUCUUCGAUGGAUAGGGGUUCUGAGAGGAAGGUCCCCCACAUUGGAACUGAGACACGGUCCAAACUCCUACGGGAGGCAGCAGUGAGGAAUAUUGGUCAAUGGGCGAGAGCCUGAACCAGCCAAGUAGCGUGAAGGAUGACUGCCCUAUGGGUUGUAAACUUCUUUUAUAAAGGAAUAAAGUCGGGUAUGUAUACCCGUUUGCAUGUACUUUGUGAAUAAGGAUCGGCUAACUCCGUGCCAGCAGCCGCGGUAAUACGGAGGAUCCGAGCGUUAUCCUGAUUUAUUGGGUUUAAAGGGAGCGUAGAUGGAUGUUUAAGUCAGUUGUGAAGGUUUGCGGCUCAACCGUAAAAUUGCAGUUGAUACUGGAUAUCUUGAGUGCAGUUGAGGCAGGCGGAAUUCGUGGUGUAGCGGUGAAAUGCUUAGAUAUCACGAAGAACUNCGAUUG
rnacentral:rRNA from 1 species